ensembl:lncRNA
GUCGCCUUAGCCAAGGUCUGGCGCGCUGUGACAGCGGCGGGGUUUCCCACAGAGACUACAGACUCGCAGUGUCGGGGGACAAAAGUCCGGGCCAGCCCUGCCAGGGAACCUCGAGGCAUGGUGCUCUGGCCGACCCCUAGCCGGGUCGCUGGUCUGGUCCCCAGGGACAGCAAGCUGAGCGGCCUGUGAGCAGCAGCAGCGUCAAGCAUCAGGCACUUCCAGCUCCUGCGUGAACGGACUCCAUAGAAGAACAAUAUAAAGAUUUUGCUGAAUGAGAACAAAAAACUGAUGGUGGAGCAGACUGUUCUGCCAGCAUCCUGUGUGGAGGCAAAGAGGUUCUGUGAAGAGGCCGGAAUGAACAUCUGUGUCCCCAGAGCCAAGCAGUUGCAGGUAUGCAUGCCUCCACUGACAUUACACUCAUCUAAUGACCAGAAUAAGGAAGGAUUAGAGGAAACAAUGCAGGACACUCUGAAGCAGAGAGAACUGAUCACCCAGGAAAGUGACUUGGGAGAAACAGUGUAGAAGAAUUGUGACAUCUUUGAGAUCAGGUCUAAAAUUCUCCAGCGAAACUCGAACAUGGCAUAGACCAGAACAAGAUCUCCCUUGGAGAGCAGUGCCACAGGAGGAGUCUAAGUGUGCACAACAAAUACACCACUAUUACAUCGCAUCCUUAAUAUCCAUAGCAGUUGUGGGCUGCAUUUUCCUACUUUAGUUUGAUUUCUUUGGAUUGAAUAGGCCAUACUUUCAUCUCGGCUCUCCCGAGCAAGCGUGCACAUUUGAAGAAGCGUGCACAGAGAAGAGCUGAUGCACAUCAAUCGAGAACUGCUGAGCAUCCAGGAAGAGUGUGCACAUGUACAUUUGUACUUGUCCUGAAGGGUCACCCAGAAGAGUUUCAUGGAGAUCAGUCCACAACAUUGGAAAAACUUUGAGUCAAAGACUGUCAUAUGUUUUAUACUCAGUAUUGGAUGGCUUUGUCCUUCAUACCCUCACUCCAACAAGGCAGACCUACUUACAUUCCCCUUGAAAAGAUUAUUACCAUCAGUAACUGCUUGUCUACUGUGUUUCCA